UACGUAGGGGGCAAGCGUUGUCCGGAUUUAUUGGGCGUAAAGAGCGUGUAGGCGGCCAUGUAGGUCCGUUGUGAAAACUCGAGGCUCAACCUCGAGACGCCGAUGGAAACCAUGUGGCUAGAGUCCGGAAGAGGAGAGUGGAAUUCCUGGUGUAGCGGUGAAAUGCGCAGAUAUCGGGAGGAACACCGGUGGCGAAGGCGGUUCUCUGGGCCUGACCUGACGCUGAGGAGCGAAAGCGUGGGGAGCGAACAGG
rnacentral:rRNA from 1 species